AAGGUUAUCCUGCUAUUCUGGAUCGCCAGGCUCUCCUCUCCAAGCGCUGGGUCCAGGACUCGGUGUCCGAACCCUCCUGCCCCGUCUGAACACCCUAUUUUGCCUCUCUUCACAGUGGUGGCUGCUCGAGCCCCCAGGAAGGUGCUUGGUUCUUCCACCUCUGCCACUAAUUCGACAUCAGUUUCAUCGAGGAAAGCUGAAAAUAAAUAUGCAGGAGGGAAUCCCGUUUGCGUGCGCCCAACUCCCAAGUGGCAAAAAGGAAUUGGAGAAUUCUUUAGGUUGUCCCCUAAAGAUUCUGAAAAAGAGAAUCAGAUUCCUGAAGAGGCAGGAAGCAGUGGCUUAGGAAGAGCAAAGAGAAAAGCAUGUCCUUUGCAACCUGAUCACACAAAUGAUGAAAAAGAAUAGAACUUUCUCAUUCAUCUUUGAAUAACGUCUCCUUGUUUACCCUGGUAUUCUAGAAUGUAAUGUGUUUGUUCCAAUUAGCUUUGUUGAAAAGGCAUUUAAUUAAAAAAUUUAGGUUUAAAUUUAGAUGUUCAAAAGUAGUUGUGAAAUUUGAGAAUUUGUAAGACUAAUUAUGGUAACUUAGCUUAGUAUUCAAUAUAAUGCAUUGUUUGGUUUGUUUUACCAAAUUAAGUGUCUUGUUCUUGCUAAAAUCAAGUCAUUGCAUUGUGUUCUA
rnacentral:sRNA from 1 species